GGAUGUGAGGGCGAUCUGGCUGCAACAUCUGUCACCCCACUGAUCACCAGGGUUGAUUCAGCUGAUCUGGCUGGCUAGGCGGGUGUCCCCUUCCUCCCUCACCCUCCAUGUGCGUCUCUCCUGAAGCUGCAUACCUGGCGAAGAGGACGACCACCCCCGAUAGAGGAGGACCGUUUCCUCUGUCAAGGGUAUAGGAGUAGCUGUGCUCCCGUUAAAACUUCCAAACAAGCUCUCAAGGCCCUUACAUAAGGCCUUACAUAUAACUUCGUUAUAAAUUACUUAUAACACAAAGAUUG
ensembl:misc_RNA 7SK 7SK RNA